rnacentral:rRNA from 1 species
ACGUAGGGGACGAGCGUUGUCCGGAUUUACUGGGCGUAAAGGGCGCGUCUUCUUUCCUUUCCUUCAGCUGUGAAAUGGUUUGGCUUAACCGGAUCAUGCGGUUGAAACUGGAUGACUGGAGUGCUGGAGAGGCAAGUGGAAUUCCCAGUGUAGCGGUGAAAUGCGUAGAUAUUGGGAAGAACACCGGUGGCGAAGGCGACUUGCUGGCCAGCAACUGACGCUGAGGCGCGAAAGCCAGGGGAGCAAACGG